rnacentral:rRNA from 1 species
CCGCGUGAGUGAAGAAGGUUUUCGGAUCGUAAAGCUCUGUUGUUGGUGAAGAAGGAUAGAGGUAGUAACUGGCCUUUAUUUGACGGUAAUCAACCAGAAAGUCACGGCUAACUACGUGCCAGCAGCCGCGGUAAU